rnacentral:rRNA from 1 species
GACGAACGCUGGCGGCGUGCCUAAUACAUGCAAGUAGGACGCAGUUGCGAACGGGUGAGUAACGCGUAGGUAACUACCUAUUAGAGGGGGAUAACUAUUGGAAACGAUAGCUAAUACCGCAUACUAGUAGAUGGACCUGCUUUGUGUUAGCUAGUAGGUAGGGUAAUGGCGUACCUAGGAAACGAUACAUAGCCGAACUGAGAGGGUGAUCGGCCAACAUGGGACUGGGACACGGCCCAGACUCCUCCGGGAUGCAGCAGGAGGGAAUCUGCGGCAAUGGGGGGAACGCUGGCCGAGCAACGCGGCGUGAGUGAAGAAGGUUGUCGGAGCGUAAAGCUCUGUUGUUAAGGAAGCGGUACUUAACCAGAAAGGGACGGCUAACUACGUGCCAGCAGCCGCGGUAAUUC